rnacentral:rRNA from 1 species
GACGAACGCUGGCGGCGUGCUUAACACAUGCAAGUCGAACGGUGAAAGCGGAGCUUGCUCCGCUGGAUCAGUGGCGAACGGGUGAGUAACACGUGGGCAACCUGCCCCUCACUUCGGGAUAACUCCGGGAAACCGGGGCUAAUACCGGAUAUGACCUCCUUGGGCAUCCUUGGAGGUGGAAGGUUUUUCGGUGAGGGAGGGGCCCGCGGCCUAUCAGCUUGUUGGUGAGGUAGUGGCUCCCCAAGGCGACGACGGGUAGCCGGCCUGGGAGGGCGACCGGCCACACUGGGACUGAGACACGGCCCAGACUCCUACGGGAGGCAGCAGUGGGGAAUAUUGCGCAAUGGGCGAAAGCCUGACGCAGCAACGCCGCGUGCGGGAUGACGGCCUUCGGGUUGUAAACCGCUUUCAGCAGGGAAGAAGCCGCAAGGUGACGGUACCUGCAGAAGAAGCACCGGCUAACUACGUGCCAGCCGCCGCCGUAA